rnacentral:rRNA from 1 species
GGGUCAGUAGGUUGGUCGUGCCACCGGUACGUACUGGUCUCACUGAUUCCUCCUUCCCGAAGAACCGUAAUGCCAUUAAUUUGGUGUUGCGGGGAAACAGGACUGUUACUUUGAAAAAAUUAGAGUGUUUAAAGCAAGCUAACGCUUGAAUACAUUAGCAUGGAAUAAUGAAAUAGGACGAUCGAUCCUAUUUUGUUGGUUUCUAUGAUUGACGUA